rnacentral:rRNA from 1 species
UACGAAGGGGGGCUAGCGUUGUUCGGAAUCACUGGGCGUAAAGGGCUCGUAGGCGGUCCAUCACGUCGGGAGUGAAAAGCUGGGGCUUAACCCCGAGCCUGCAGUGGAUACGGGCAGACUAGAGGUAGGUAGGGGAGAAUGGAAUUCCCGGUGUAGCGGUGAAAUGCGCAGAUAUCGGGAGGAACACCGGUGGCGAAGGCGGUUCUCUGGGCCUUACCUGACGCUGAGGAGCGAAAGCGUGGGGAGCGAACAGG